UCCAAUCCUCCUCUGCCUCCAUGGCCUGCAGCAAGGGAUCCCAAUCAUAUCUGUGGGUCAUCGCAUGGUCCAUCGUCGCCGUUCCCUUAGCACGCCGCCUGCACUUCCUCUUGGUCGUCGCAAUCGUUGGGUCAUCGGUUCAUCUGUUCGUGCCUAGAUUGUCGCCGUUCAUCUUUACUUAUGUUUCUCUUUGAUGAUGUCCAGGUGCCGCAGUACCGGCAGCGAAGCUGAAGGCCCCAGUGCAGGAGGAAGCAGGCGGGUGCUCGGCGACAUCAGCAACAUCGUCCCUGCCCACGUCCUCGAGG
rnacentral:lncRNA from 1 species